rnacentral:rRNA from 1 species
UACGUAGGGGGCGAGCGUUGUCCGAAUUUACUGGGCGUAAAGAGCGCGUAGGCGGGUUCUUAAGUGAGAGGUGAAAGGUUCAGGGCUCAACCCGAACAGUGCCUUUCAUACUGGGAGCCUUGAGUGUGGGAGAGGUGAGUGGAAUUUCUGGUGUAGCGGUGAAAUGCGUAGAUAUCAGAAGGAACACCCAUGGCGAAGGCAGCUCGCUGGCCUACAACUGACGCUGAGGCGCGAAAGCGUGGGGAGCAAACAGG